rnacentral:rRNA from 1 species
GACGAACGCUGGCGGCGUGCUUAACACAUGCAAGUCGAACGGAAAGGCCCUGCUCUUGUGGGGUGCUCGAGUGGAGAACGGGUGAGUAACACGUGAGUAACCUGCCCUUGACUGUGGGAUAACUUCAGGAAACUGGGGCUAAUAUCGGACAGGAGCUCCUGCUGCAUGGGGGGGGAGGGAAAGAUUCGGCGGUUGGGGAUGGACUCGCGGCCUAUCAGCUUGUUGGUGGGGUAGUGGCUUACCAAGGCUUUGACGGGUAGCCGGCCUGGGAGGGUGACCGGCCACAUUGGGACUGAGAUACGGCCCAGACUCCUACGGGAGGCAGCAGUGGGGAAUAUUGCACAAUGGGCGGAAGCCUGAUGCAGCAACGCCGCGUGCGGGAUGACGGCCUUCGGGUUGUAAACCGCUUUCGCCUGUGACGAAGCGUGAGUGACGGUAAUGGGUAAAGAAGCACCGGCUAACUACGUG